UAGCUAGUUGGUGAGGUAAAGGCUUACCAAGGCGACGAUCUGUAGCGGGUCUGAGAGGAUGAUCCGCCACACUGGAACUGAGACACGGUCCAGACUCCUACGGGAGGCAGCAGUAGGGAAUUUUGGACAAUGGGGGCAACCCUGAUCCAGCCAUGCCGCGUGAGUGAAGAAGGCCUUCGGGUUGUAAAGCUCUUUCGGCCGGGAAGAAAUCGCAUGGGCCAAUACCCUGUGUGGAUGACGGUACCGGAAUAAGAAGCACCGGCUAACUACGUGCCAGCAGCCGCGGUAAUACGUAGGGUGCGAGCGUUAAUCGGAAUUACUGGGCGUAAAGCGUGCGCAGGCGGUUUUGUAAGACAGGCGUGAAAUCCCCGGGCUUAACCUGGGAACUGCGUUUGUGACUGCAAGGCUAGAGUACGGCAGAGGGGGGUGGAAUUCCACGUGUAGCAGUGAAAUGCGUAGAGAUGUGGAGGAACACCAAUGGCGAAGGCAGCCCCCUGGGUCGAUACUGACGCUCAUGCACGAAAGCGUGGGUAGCAAACAGGAUUAGAUACCCUGGUAGUCCACGCCCUAAACUAUGUCAACUAGGUGUUGGGUGGGUAAAACCAUUUAGUACCGUAGCUAACGCGUGAAGUUGACCGCCUGGGGAGUACGGCCGCAAGGUUAAAACUCAAAGGAAUUGACGGGGACCCGCACAAGCGGUGGAUGAUGUGGAUUAAUUCGAUGCAACGCGAAAAACCUUACCUACCCUUGACAUGCCAGGAACUUGCCAGAGAUGGCUUGGUGCCCGAAAGGGAGCCUGACACAGGUGCUGCAUGGCUGUCGUCAGCUCGUGUCGUGAGAUGUUGGGUUAAGUCCCGCAACGAGCGCAACCCUUGUCGUUAAUUGCCAUCAUUUGGUUGGGCACUUUAACGAGACUGCCGGUGACAAACCGGAGGAAGGUGGGGAUGACGUCAAGUCCUCAUGGCCCUUAUGGGUAGGGCUUCACACGUCAUACAAUGGUUGGUACAAAGGGUUGCCAAGCCGCGAGGCGGAGCCAAUCCCAGAAAGCCGAUCGUAGUCCGGAUUGCAGGCUGCAACUCGCCUGCAUGAAGUCGGAAUCGCUAGUAAUCGUGGAUCAGCAUGUCACGGUGAAUACGUUCCCGGGUCUUGUACACACCGCCCGUCACACCAUGGGAGCGGGUUCCGCAGAAGUAGGUAGCCUAACCGCAAGGGGGGCGCUUACCACGGCGGGGUUCGUGACUGGGGUGAAGUCGAAACAAGGUAGCCGUAGGGGAACCUGCGGCUG
rnacentral:rRNA from 1 species